ensembl:lncRNA
GGGUAGAAUGAUUACCCAGCCUUUACUUGAACUCCUUCAGCGAUGGGGAGCUUACCUUUUUGUAAAGCAGCCGAUCACAACCCCUGACCAGGCUGGAGAGUUCAUCUUCAUACUGAUCCUUCUCUACAUUUUGUCCCAUCUGCUUGCUGCUGCUUCCACCCGUUGUCCCCACCAAGAUAGCCAUUCCCUGUUCCUCACAGCUCUUCAAAGAACAUCAUGGGGUUGAGCAGGAGGAAAGAGAUUCAGCCUUGUCUAGCCUCAGGCAAGGUCUGCCCUGAGAUCUCAGGCACACUAGAGAAUGACUUCACUUUUCUGACCUUCUCGAUGAACCGGCGCUGCUGUGAAGGGCAGAAGCGUGGUGGGCCUCUGGGCCCUUUGGGCCACAGAUACACAGCUGUGCUGGCUGGGAAGGCCUCAGCCCACUGUCUGAGUCCUGGUGGGGCUUUUCUGGGUCCCUAGGGCCUGGAGUGAGGGACACGACAUCCCAGAGACAACGAUGACCUUGGAAUUUGACCAUCUGGGUCCCUGUCCUAGAUUUACUGCUUCCUAGUUGGUAUCCUUUAAGCUCGUUGCUUAAACUCUGAGCUUUAGUUUCCUCCUCUGUAAAAUGAGGAAAUAUUGUUUUGUUAUGAAGAUCAAGUGACAUCACAUGUGAGAAAAAGGUUUAUCAACCAAAACAGGCUCUGCCAAUGAGUAACCAGUUCUAGCCAUUAGCAAAGGGGCUUGUGGGGCUUGGAGAUUUCUCUGGUCUGGGCCUUCCUGGGAGGGUGAAUGUCUGAAGCAGAAUUGGUUUAGACAGGACUUCAAACUCCUCCUCAAGCCCUGUGGCUGGUCCUUUGGCACCCUCAUGGCCUCCCUGUGGCAAGGCAUGAUGACGGAGCUCCAUGCCUGUGUCUUCAGGAGCAGACUCUGGCCCAAGUGCCUCAGCCCUGCUUUAGAGACCUGGAGAAAGCAGAUCUCCAGCAGCUCAUGGAGUCCGGAAUGAAAUCAGUCCUCCAAGUAAUAACCAAGUGGAAGUGGACUCAAAAUGCUGAGUGUUUGUGUGUCUUCGGGGGACUGUUUCUCUGUUUUCCAAAGCAGGUCUCCUGCCCGGCAGCAAAGCUUAGUCAUUCACCGUGGCAGACUCUGAGAAGACCAUGAGAUGAACGAGCCUGGGGUGAUCUCCCGUCAGCCCAGCUUCUGGUCUCACUCUAGCCUGGAUCUCUCUGCUGAGCCCCAGACCCUGUGGACCGCCCACCCGACACUACUCAUCCAGUCUUCACAGGGCUGCCGUGCGAACACCACGGUCUCUGCUAGGAAUACCCAGGGGAUUAAAAAAUGCAAACCUCAUCUCUUCCCACCUCCCCACCCCCCAUGUCCCUGUGUUCCAAACAGUGGCUCCUUCAGCCUUGUGGGAUGAGCUAAACUCAUUCUUCCAUUCACCUCUGCAACACACUAUAACUUGUAUCCUUCCCUCCAUUUUUUCCAAUUGAUUUCAGAAAAAUUUAAAUUCCACCUCCCCUCUUCUGAGGAGCCUUCUUCAGCCAAACCUUUAAACUCUAUCUCAGUAGAGGGAGUUUCCACCACCAGCAAGGGAAGAGGGUCACUGGAAAGAACUGGAAGUUGUUAAAGCAGAUGAUAGCCACUGGGGUGCAAGGAGGUCAGAGUAGAGCAUCUAGAAGUAUCUUCAGUCUUACAAAUAAGAUGGUUCUAUGUUGUGAUGAAGGGAUUGAGGUAAGGGGGUGCAGGGGUGAUGACUAAUUUAGUAGGAGACCUUGAACAAAUCCACUCCCCAUUCUGAGCUUUCAUUUCCCCAUUGACAAAAUGGGAAUGAUGAGUUCCAUCUCUCAGGGUAUAUGAUAUACCCCUUAUGAGUUUUUAACACAGAUCUGACCAACAGGAGAUGCUUGCUAAAUGCCAGCUCUCCUUCCCCCUUUCACAAGGCACCAGUCUGCUUCAAAGGCCAGGGGAGUCUGGAAAGUGCCCCCAGAGCAUUGACAUCCCCCAGGGCACUCUUGGGAGAUUGAGGAGGCCAAGGGACCAACCAGCAGGGAUGACAGGGACUCUGAAAACUGGGAAUCAAGACAUUGCCAGUACCAUGGCUGUCAUGCUGGUCUCUUAAUUAGCCUGGGUUAAUGAACAGCAUGAUUCAUGAUUUGCUACUUCUCAAGGAUGCCCUUUCUGUUUGCCUUCCUCCCACCUGGGCCCAACAGCUAUUGCCACCCCAAUUCCGCCGUCUACAUCACCCGUCAGCCGUGUCAGGGAGGUGGGGUCUGUUCUCCUUGGUCCCCUGCGCCUCCGGCUCUGCCCCUGUCUGGUUCUUGGACUGGCUGAGCCAGAGGGGAGUCCCAGCCAGUGCUGAGGAACUUUGUGUAGGAGGCCUUGGGCUAGUCCCUUCAACACAGGUGACAGAUGACAGACUUGGCAGAAACCGUACAGGGUGUUAUGGGUGGAGUUCAGGCUAGCGGACUGAGGCCUCCUGGUGCAGGGACUCAACUCCUUCUCCUCCACCUACUUCCUUCCUUCAGCCCCACAUGCACAACUGAGGCAGGGCCUUGCCCUUCUUGUACAUGCAGACCUCUAGGGGACUGGCAGUGUGUGCAGUUCUCAGAAAAUGCGUUCAUGAGAGAGGUCUCCUGCACUUUCCAGCUCCAUCUGUCUCUGUCCUCUGG